UGGCGUUAGCACCAACUUUAACAGUAAUCAACGCUUCGCUCUUCUCUUUUGGAGCAACAAAGUUUUUCCACAAAAGCAAGUGAAAUAACACGUCUAAAACGACAAGCGUAAAAAACUGGCAGCUUAAACAUCAAAAAAUAGCCAAUAAAACACCGUUAGUUGGGACAUCAAAAUUGCAAAUGCCCGACGUCUGCAUAUUUCCAAAUGGAAUGUGUGUGCGGCACCCACUUUAUCCGUCACUUUUAGCUCCAGCUUUGCAAUUUUUAUAUAUUUAUUUUUAUUUUUAGCUGUUUUCAUAUUUUUCCCCAACAAAUAACGGUAAAAGGAGCUACUAAUGUCGGCAAUGUCAGGCUUUGAGCGCAGCUGAAGUCUGUCAGAAGCUGGCGGAGGUUGUCAUAGAAACUCCCGCCGCUGAAUGGUCGGGUGAAUAGGCGGGGUCGCAUGAAAUAAGAGCAAAAGCAGAGCACAAUAAUAACAACACCAAAUACCGUGACGUGCAAAACUACAGUGGAAUGACAACAACAGCGGUGCGCUAACAGACAGCCGCAGGAAACGUACUCGUCUACGGAAGCGGAUGAGGAAUUGCGACAGCCAACGGCGACGGAAUGUCACAUUCUCGAUGCAAAGAAUCGGUGGAGUCGCCUGGCUUUUCCCUCAUUUUUUUUUACCGCCAAUUUAUUGCAAUUGCACUGCGCUUUGCAAGCUCGUGCUUUUUAAGCAAUGUUGCCAUAUUAUUUAAUAUUUGCAAAUUCGCGUGCGAUUUUAAAAGCAUUGUAGAGAGACAGGGAAGAAAAACAUACAGCUUCUCCUAUUCAUACUUAAACCAUAAGUGUGUGGAAGCAAUGCCUUUCCAGUGCCUUUUGUAUAAUGAGUAAGGCAAUGACUACCCUCGCUCAGUUAUUUCAUUCAUGAAUUUAUGAAUGAGCUUUUGUCUGGUCGUGUCUACCAACACGAAGUCUACAAGUAAUGUACAGGUUUGUGUUGUUAAUUUUGACAUCUCAGUCGCUGAAGUUAGCAUUUUUUUGCCUUAUAUAGUUAUUUUUUUAAUUUUCUCAAGUAUCUUUCACUGCUCUUUUUUACACUCUUUCGCUAAUCCCUUAGGUGCAAAUAAAGGCGCGACAUGUUGAGCCGCUUAAGUGGUGCUGAUGGUUGCGGUUUGGUGUGUUUCACAAGUUCAACUUGUUGUAUUUUGCUGAUGCAAAUUUAAAAAAAAAUUUUUGCGAACCACACAAGUGCAAGGAAACUUUGAAAUUAGUGUUUUAUUGUGUUUCACUCUUUCGUUUGAGAGUAUGAUUUUUAAUGACAAUCUGGCUUUAAACUGAAAUUUAGUUAUUAAACUCAAUCGUAAAAAAUA